GGGCGUAUGGUGUAGUGGUAUCACUCAUGCUUUGCAAGUCUUGCCGUUUCACGGUAAAACCGGAUGUAUGCGGUCUAGGGUUCGAACCCCUAUGCGUCCA